rnacentral:tRNA from 1 species
GUAUCGGUAGCUCAGUGGAUAGAGUGUCUCACUCCGAAUGAGAAGGCCGCGAGUUCGAUCCUCGCUCGAUACACCA